rnacentral:rRNA from 1 species
AGUGAACGCUGGCGGUAGGCCUAACACAUGCAAGUCGAACGGCAGCACAGUAAGAGCUUGCUCUUACGGGUGGCGAGUGGCGGACGGGUGAGGAAUACAUCGGAAUCUACUUUUUCGUGGGGGAUAACGUAGGGAAACUUACGCUAAUACCGCAUACGACCUACGGGUGAAAGCAGGGGAUCUUCGGACCUCGCGCGAUUGAAUGAGCCGAUGUCGGAUUAGCUAGUUGGCGGGGUAAAGGCCCACCAAGGCGACGAUCCGUAGCGGGUCUGAGAGGAUGAUCAGCCACACUGGAACUGAGACACGGUCCAGACUCCUACGGGAGGCAGCAGUGGGGAAUAUUGGACAAUGGGCGCAAGCCUGAUCCAGCCAUACCGCGUGGGUGAAGAAGGCCUUCGGGUUGUAAAGCCCUUUUGUUGGGAAAGAAAAGCAGCAGGUUAAUACCCCGCUGUUCGGACGGUACCCAAAGAAUAAGCACCGGCUAACUUCGU